rnacentral:pre_miRNA from 1 species
AAAGUACUCCCUCCGUUACAUAAUUCUUGUCCAAAUAUUACAUGUAUGUAGACAUUUUUUAGGAGUAGAUACAUCUAUUUUUGGGCAAAUUUGUGACAAGAAUUAUGAAACCGAGGGAGUACAAA